rnacentral:tRNA from 1 species
CUGGGCGUAGCUCAACAGAAGAGCGCCGGUUUUGGAAGCCGGAGGCCGAACGGGCAGCACGUUCCGCCCAGACCA